CCUACGGGGUGCAGCAGUGAGGAAUAUUGGUCAAUGGACGAGAGUCUGAACCAGCCAAGUAGCGUGAAGGAUGACUGCCCUAUGGGUUGUAAACUUCUUUUAUAUGGGAAUAAAAUGUUCCACGUGUGGGAUUUUGUAUGUACCAUAUGAAUAAGGAUCGGCUAACUCCGUGCCAGCAGCCGCGGUAAUACGGAGGAUCCGAGCGUUAUCCGGAUUUAUUGGGUUUAAAGGGAGCGUAGGUGGAUUGUUAAGUCAGUUGUGAAAGUUUGCGGCUCAACCGUAAAAUUGCAGUUGAAACUGGCAGUCUUGAGUACAGUAGAGGUGGGCGGAAUUCGUGGUGUAGCGGUGAAAUGCUUAGAUAUCACGAAGAACUCCGAUUGCGAAGGCAGUUCACUGGACUGCAACUGACACUGAGGCUCGAAAGUGUGGGUAUCAAACAGGAUUAGUAUCCCAGUAGUC
rnacentral:rRNA from 1 species